GCGCCGGUGGUUUAAUAGCGACAGCAGGAGGUGCGGGUUCGAAUCCCGCCUGGCGCU
rnacentral:tRNA from 1 species